GUCGAGGCUAGAGUCACACCUCUGCACUCCUAGUGGCUUUGGUGUGCUAGAGUUCUCGAAGAGUAAUUGCUGAUGUUUGUUUAACGGUUGGUUUUCCAUGUAGCCCAACCAGUCACCGAUGCAGCAACAUCU